rnacentral:snRNA from 8 species
AUCAGUUUAAUAUCUGAUACGUCCCCCAUCGGGGGACUACAUAUUAAAUGGAUUUUUCGAACAGGGAGUCGGAAAUGGGGCUUGCUCCGUCCGCUCCACGCAUCGACCAGGUAUUGCAGUACCUCCGGGAACGGUGCAACACUU